UACGUAGGGUGCAAGCGUUGUCCGGAAUUAUUGGGCGUAAAGAGCUUGUAGGCGGUUUGUCGCGUCUGCUGUGAAAUUUCGGGGCUCAACCCCGAACUUGCAGUGGGUACGGGCAGACUAGAGUGUGGUAGGGGAGACUGGAAGUUCCUGGUGUAGCGGUGAAAUGCGCAGAUAUCAGGAGGAACACCGGUGGCGAAGGCGGGAUCCUGGGCCAGUACUGACGCUGAGGAGCGAAAGCGUGGGGAGCAAACAGG
rnacentral:rRNA from 1 species